GUCUCGAUAGCUCAGUGGUAGAGCAUGCGAUUGCAGUACCACUGCUUCACAACACAUCGCAGGGUCAGGUGUUCGAACCACCUUCGGGACU